UACGGAGGUGGCAAGCGUUAUCCGGAAUUAUUGGGCGUAAAGAGGGAGCAGGCGGCAGCAAAGGUCUGUGGUGAAAGACUGAAGCUUAACUUCAGUAAGCCAUAGAAACCGGGCAGCUAGAGUGCAGGAGAGGAUCGUGGAAUUCCAUGUGUAGCGGUGAAAUGCGUAGAUAUAUGGAGGAACACCAGUGGCGAAGGCGACGAUCUGGCCUGCAACUGACGCUCAGUCCCGAAAGCGUGGGGAGCAAAUAGG
rnacentral:rRNA from 1 species